GAUGAACGCUGGCGGCGUGCUUAACACAUGCAAGUCGAACGGGAUCGGCUGGAGCUUGCUCCGGCCGUGAGAGUGGCGAACGGGUGAGUAAUGCGUGACCGACCUGCCCCAUACACCGGAAUAGCUCCUGGAAACGGGUGGUAAUGCCGGAUGCUCCAGUUGACCGCAUGGUCCUCUGGGAAAGCUUUCGCGGUAUGGGAUGGGGUCGCGUCCUAUCAGCUUGAUGGCGGGGUAACGGCCCACCAUGGCUUCGACGGGUAGCCGGCCUGAGAGGGCGACCGGCCACAUUGGGACUGAGAUACGGCCCAGACUCCUACGGGAGGCAGCAGUGGGGAAUAUUGCACAAUGGGCGCAAGCCUGAUGCAGCGACGCCGCGUGCGGGAUGACGGCCUUCGGGUUGUAAACCGCUUUUGACUGGGAGCAAGCCCUUCGGGGUGAGUGUAC
rnacentral:rRNA from 1 species